CAGUCCUGAGGACUUCUCUUGGACAGCCAGCUGCUGAUGGUCCAAUAUUCUCUUAAUCAUGCUCCACAUCAAGGAACAUACUUGUUUAAAAACAAAUUCAGAUGUGGAAGCAAGAUGAAGAUGUGGAUUUUCCAUUUGUUAUAUUUUGGAGAUGAGGUUUCAUGUUCAGUAAACCAGAGAUCACAGUGGAAGACCCAUCACAGAAUUCAUGAUUUGUUCACUGGGGAAAACCCUUAUGUGCCAGAGACAGGAAGACUUCAGCCUGCAAUAAUUCAUUACUUAAAUGAGAAAAUGAUUCUAUAGACCAAAAGUAUCAAAAUAAAAAAGGACAUUUUAGGUUU